GCCAGUGUGGCUCAGUGGACAGAGCGUCGGCCUGCAGACCGAAGGGUCCCGGGUUCGAUUCCGGUCAAGGGCA
rnacentral:tRNA from 1 species